ACUGUUAAAUGGGAAUGAGGCAUGCUCCCUGUUCAUCUAGGGUGAAUAAAUACCAUGCCAUUACAGCAGGGAUUUUCUAGCACUCUGCUCUCUAGGAUAUUCUUGUCCAAACAAGAUGAUCUCUAUUCAUAGUACAGCUCUAAGCUGGAACUAUCUGUGAUGUAUCUCUAACCUGUAUGGGAAAUCAGCCCGUAACUUCAGCUGCUUGCGACCAAGGAGUCAGCAUGUCUUUGGCCAUAUUAUACCUGGAUGAAGCCAGUGAGACCCCAGGAACAGGGAGAUAGAGCCCUGAAAUCUGCCUUGCUCCAGAAAGCUGAGAGCUCUACAGGCUAUGACCACCACAUCUAACCCUUGGUGAAAUGAGUGUUAAGUCCGCUGAAGAGUAACAGAAAUGGAAAUAAACAGAGGGGGAAAAAAAAGAAAAAAAA